GUUGCUAAGGUGUUGUUCAUAGUUGCUAUACGAUUGCUAGGGUGUUGUUCAUAGUUGCUAUGAGGUUGCUAAGGUGUUGUUUGUACUUGCUGUGCAUUUUCUGGGGUGUUCUGAAUAGUUGCUAUGGGGUUGCUAGGGUGUAGUUCAUAGUUGCUAUGCAUUCUCUGGGGUGUUCUGAGUAGUUGCUAAGGUAUUGUUCAUAGUUGCUAUGAAGUUGCUAGGGUGUUGUUCAUAGUUGCUAUAAGGUUGCUAAGGUGUUCUUCAUAGUUGCUAUGAAGUUGCAGUUGCUAGGGUGUCUUCAGUAGUGCUUUUCAUUUUCUGGGGUGUUCUGAAUGAAACCUUAAAAGUAUCAGCAGAAACACACACACACACACACACACACAAACACUCACACACACACACACACAAUUACCUGUAGAAUCAUUUUACCUGUUGCUGAGUGAGUGUGUUUAGCAGUGAUGUGUGUGAGUUUACAUCCGUUUACAAGUACUCUAUCGCUCUCUUACAAACACUCACACACACACUCACACACACUCACACACACACACACACACACACACACACACACACACACACACACACACACACACACACACACGCACACACACACUCACACACACACACACACACACACACACACACUCACACACUCACACACAGGACGACAUAAUCCAUCAAUGUAUCAUUGCCUCAUAUUGCAUCAUGCUUCUUGCAGUUAUCUUUAGUAAUCAGUCUCUUCCAAAGUUUCACAAACUGAUUCAUGCUCACUUCGACUCUUCGUCUGUGUUUAUAGUGUUGAUCAGGAUUGUGUGUCAUUCAGACUGAAACAGGAAACGGAACGCAGUAACAUAUUUCACAUCUGAACCGAAAGGCAUGUCCUGUAAGAGCACGUCUGAACUACAUCGUUGCAUCAUUUUAAUAACUGAUGCUUGAGAUGUCUCUUAAACUGCACAAAUGCCUAUAAGUAUACAUUUAAAUAUUUGCUUAAUUGCACUUAAAGUAACUUUCAGUUUGUGUUUCUGGGUGGAAGUCAUUCAGAUUAGACAAAUACACUGUAAAUGUGCCUUUUCUGUCAUGUCAACUAGUUACGUGGUUGCUGCUGCAUCCUAAAUAUGUGGAGCAUUAACGAGCAACAUCUGAAUGAAGUGACUCAUUUAAUGAUUGUGUCGUCGUGACUAAUAAAAUCAGUCUGUUGUGUGACUGUGUUGACGGCCCUGGAAGUGCAAGUCAGUGAUUUCUCUUCCUGUUAGUUCAACUUCCUGUGCGUUUCUUACGCAUACCGUUCAAUAUAUUCAUACUUGUUGAAAUGUGAUUUUUAUUUCUGUCGUCACGCUGUAUUUCUUGUGGUGUUGUUCUGAAUACUGCGGCCUUUAGUGUUUCUCUCUGCGCUGCAAAGACUGAGAGUGAAACCUGCCUUAAACCCAGAGAGAGACGACAGGAACACACAGAUUAGAAGGACAGGAAGUGCAGGUGUAACUGUCUGAAGACUUCCUGUCUGAAAGAAGAGAAGAGAUCAUUGACUGAAUGGAUCAUCACAAAAGGUUUUAUCCUUGGAAUCAUUGAUAUUUUUACGCUUUUUAUUUGAAUUUUUUAAAUCUUUUUAUGUAAAACAGUUUGGUCGAACAGCAUUAAUGAUGUGUGUGUCCUGUAGAGGGCAGCGUGCACACACACACACACACACACACACACACACACACACACACACACACACACACACACACACACACACACACACA